CCCGUUGAGUUUAAGCAUAUCAAUAAGAGGAGGAAAAGAAGCUUAUAAGGUUUCCCUUAGUAACGACAAGUGAACCGGGAACAACCCAACCUUAUAAUCGGGCAGCUCCGUCGUCCAAAUUGUAGUAUGGAGAAGCGUCCUCAUCGGCGGACUGGGCCCAAGUCCCCUGGAAGGGAGCACCAAAGAGGGUGAGAGCCCCGUUGUGUCCAGACCCUAUCGCAUCACGAGGCGCUGUCUACGACUCAGAUUGUUUUGGAAUGCAGCCCAAAUCGGGCGGUGAAUUCCGUCCAAGGCUAAAUACGAGCGAGAGACCGAUAGUGAACAAGUACCACGAGGGAAAAAUGAAAAGGAUUUUGAAAAUAGAGUCAAAGAGUGCUUGAAAUUGUCGGGACGGAAGAAGAUGGGGGCCGGCGAUGCACCUCGGUUAGAUGUGG
rnacentral:ncRNA from 2 species